CAAGGGUUACAUGUGUGGACUGCUUGUUCAAUGAGAAAGUAAAUUGUAGGGCAGCAUGGUAGAAAUUGCCCGAAUAUGGUAGUCAGAUCUCAGUUGAAAUCCAAAUUCAGUAAGUCACCAAUUGUGUAACCUUCAUAAAUUGCCACAAGAGGUAUGUCUGUGAUAUUUCCAUUCCAUUUUUCUUUGGCAAACUAAGAAUAACUGCAUGAUUUCCUUCUCUAUGACACUAGAUUGCCUCCUCCUCUGAUUUACUUGAGCCAGUGUUUGAGUAAACUUCUUGCCUGGAAAAAUUACAGUCACCAAACUAAUUCAGUUACUGUUCAGAAUAAAUACACAGAAUGGCAAAUGGACCUCCCUGGAGUGGCUGGGGCAUUCAAAGUCUCUAUCCUGGUCUGCUGGAGACCUUGGCAUUUUACUUCCCGGACAUAACUUUAUUCUGCUGGAGCAAUGCUCACAUUGCUCUGGAAACACUGGAAAAUCUCAAGAUGCAGGUCAGUCUGCUCCAUGGAUGAGUAUGAGGCCCCAAGCCAUCUCUCAAACUAAAGAUUCCCCAGCCAGAUAAUGCUGAAGAGUCUUCAACAAGGCAAUAUGAUUACUCUGUGUGCUUAGAAGAAGAGGGAUUAUAAAUGUCAGCUGUUGCUCUUUGACUCCUGCUGAUUGAUUCAUUGAUUCAUCUUUCCAACAGGCGUGUGCUGCAAGUUGAUUAUACUGAAUGACACU